rnacentral:rRNA from 1 species
UACGUAGGCAGCGAGCGUUGUUCGGAAUUACUGGGCGUAAAGAGCGUGUAGGCGGCCAGGUAGGUCUGCUGUGAAAACUCGAGGCUCAACCUCGAGACGUCGGCGGAAACCAUCUGGCUAGAGUCCGGAAGAGGAGAGUGGAAUUCCUGGUGUAGCGGUGAAAUGCGCAGAUAUCAGGAAGAACACCCGUGGCGAAGGCGGCUCUCUGGGACGGUACUGACGCUGAGACGCGAAAGCGUGGGGAGCGAACAGG